GACGAACGCUGGCGGCGUGCUUAACACAUGCAAGUCGAGCGGUAAGGCUCCUUCGGGAGUACACGAGCGGCGAACGGGUGAGUAACACGUGAGCAACCUGCCCUUCUCAUCGGAAUAAGCGUUGGAAACGACGUCUAAUGCCGAAUAUGACAACGGAUCGCAUGAUCUGUUGUGGAAAGCUCCGGCGGAGAAGGGUGGGCGCGCGGCCUAUCAGCUUGUUGGUGGGGUGACGGCCCCCCAAGGCGACGACGGGUAGCCGGCCUGAGAGGGUGACCGGCCACACUGGGACUGAGACACGGCCCAGACUCCUACGGGAGGCAGCAGUGGGGAAUAUUGGACAAUGGGCGCAAGCCUGAUCCAGCAACGCCGCGUGAGGGAUGACGGCCUUCGGGUUGUAAACCUGUUUCAGCAGGGACGAAGCGAAAGUGACGGUACCUGCAGAAGAAGGACCGGCCAACUACGUGCCAGCCGCCGCAGUAAUAC
rnacentral:rRNA from 1 species